UACAGAGGAUGCAAGCGUUAUCCGGAAUGAUUGGGCGUAAAGAGCUCGUAGGCGGUUUGUUGCGUCGGCUGUGAAAUCCCGAGGCUCAACCUCGGGUCUGCAGUCGAUACGAGCAAACUAGAGUGUUGCAGGGGAGACUGGAAUUCCUGGUGUAGCGGUGAAAUGCGCAGAUAUCAGGAGGAACACCGGUGGCGAAGGCGGGUCUCUGGGCAACAACUGACGCUGAGGAGCGAAAGCGUGGGGAGCGAACAGG
rnacentral:rRNA from 1 species